rnacentral:rRNA from 1 species
CAGUCGCCGCGGUAACACGUAGGGGGCGAGCGUUGUCCGAAGUUACUGGGCGUAAAGCGCGUGUAGGCGGGUCUUUAAGUGAGGGGUGAAAGGUUUGGGCUUAACCCAGACACUGCCUUUCAUACUGGAGACCUUGAGUGCGGGAGAGGCGAGUGGAAUGGUCGGUGUAGCGGUGAAAUGCGUAGAUAUCGAUCGGAACACCCAUGGCGAAGGCAGCUCGCUGGCCUGUAGCUGACGCUGAGACGCGAAAGCGUGGGGAGCAAACAGGAUUAGAUACCCCCGUAGUCCCUGUCUCUUAUAC